AUGACUUUGAUCUGCGUCCUCAUCUGGACUCUCCUCUGCUGCUGCUUCACAGAGUCCAGAGGACAGAUCACAGUGACUCAGCCUGGAGCAGUGAGCUCUGCUGUGGGAGCAACUGUGAGCAUCAAGUGUACGACCAGUCAGAAUGUUUAUGUUCAUAGCAACUAUCAGCGUUUAGCCUGGUACCAACAGAAAGAUGGAGGAGUUCCUAAACUGCUCAUUUACUAUGCUAGCACUCAACAAUCAGGGAUUCCAGCUCGUUUUACAGGCAGUGGAUCAAACUCUGACUUCACUCUGACCAUCAGUGGAGUCCAGGCUGAAGAUGCAGCAGUUUAUUACUGUCAGAGUUAUCACUAUCCUAACAGUCGUACAAAAACCUCCCUCAGUCAGACUGAACAGAAUCUGAACUGA